UACGGGGGGAGCAAGCGUUGUUCGGAUUUACUGGGCGUAAAGGGCGCGUAGGCGGCCACCGCAAGUCGACUGUGAAAUCUCCGGGCUUAACUCGGAAAGGUCAGCCGAUACUGCGGGGCUAGAGUGCAGAAGGGGCAACUGGAAUUCUCGGUGUAGCGGUGAAAUGCGUAGAUAUCGAGAGGAACACCUGCGGCGAAGGCGGGUUGCUGGGCUGACACUGACGCUGAUGUGCGAAAGCUAGGGGAGCGAACAGG
rnacentral:rRNA from 1 species